GGUUGGCGCGGGCGCAUCCGGAUGCCAACCCGGUCAGGGCCGAAAGGCAGCAGCCGUAACAUUUUCGACGCGGGUCGUGUCCAGCCUUC
rnacentral:SRP_RNA from 1 species